rnacentral:rRNA from 1 species
AAACCCCCCCCUCCCUAGGCGAGCGCCCGCCGGAGACACCAACGUGAACACUGUCUGAAGUUUUGUUGUCUGAGUUCGAUUG